AACGAACGCUGGCGGCAGGCCUAACACAUGCAAGUCGAGCGAGGACUUCGGUCCUAGCGGCGGACGGGUGAGUAACGCGUGGGAACGUGCCCUUUGCUACGGAAUAGCCCCGGGAAACUGGGAGUAAUACCGUAUGUGCCCUUCGGGGGAAAGAUUUAUCGGCAAAGGAUCGGCCCGCGUUGGAUUAGGUAGUUGGUGGGGUAAUGGCCUACCAAGCCGACGAUCCAUAGCUGGUUUGAGAGGAUGAUCAGCCACACUGGGACUGAGACACGGCCCAGACUCCUACGGGAGGCAGCAGUGGGGAAUCUUAGACAAUGGGGGAAACCCUGAUCUAGCCAUGCCGCGUGAGCGACGAAGGCCUUAGGGUUGUAAAGCUCUUUCAGUGGGGAAGAUAAUGACGGUACCCACAGAAGAAGCCCCGGCUAAUUCCGUGCCAGCCGCCGCCGUAAUAC
rnacentral:rRNA from 1 species